UCUUUCUAGUAGAGGCAUGUGGAGAAAAACAAAAAGUGUGGCGGUCUUUAAUCCCGUCAGAGGGACAUGUAUUUAUAAAACGAAUUUGCACGAAAAUUUGUCCUAAUCUGGAAUAAUCAUUUUGUACACCGCUGUCUGAAAGAGAUUAUAAAAGUAUUCUCUUAUUGCUUUUGAAGAAGUAAGGCAAGUUAAGGUGCAGAUUAUGAUUAGGGUAAUAUGUGUUCCAAUAGGAAUUUUAGUUCUAUCUAUGAAAAAGGAUUGAUAAAGAGAAUUUGAUAGUAAAGUUAGUGAGGAAGCUGACCUGAAGAUGGGCUAUAAGAGGUGU
rnacentral:rRNA from 1 species